rnacentral:rRNA from 1 species
UGGGGAAUUUUGCACAAUGGGCGCAAGCCUGAUGCAGCGACGCCGCGUGAGGGAUGAAGGCCUUCGGGUUGUAAACCUUUUUCGCUCAUGGUCAAGCCGCAGCUUUGGGUUGUGGUGAGGGUAGUGGGCAAAGAAGCGCCGGCUAACUACGUGCCAGCAGCCGCGGUAAUACGUAGGGCGCGAGCGUUGUCCGGAAUUAUUGGGCGUAAAGGGCUUGUAGGCGGUUGGCCGCGUCUGCCGUGAAAUCCUCUGGCUUAACUGGGGGCGUGCGGUGGGUACGGGUUGACUUGAGUGCGGUAGGGGAGACUGGAAUUCCUGGUGUAGCGGUGGAAUGCGCAGAUAUCAGGAGGAACACCGGUGGCGAAGGCGGGUCUCUGGGCCGUUACUGACGCUGAGGAGCGAAAGCGUGGGGAGCGAACAGG